UACGGGGGAGCAAGCGUUGUUCGGAUUUACUGGGCGUAAAGGGCGCGUAGGCGGUCAGCACAAGUCAGUUGUGAAAUCUCCGGGCUUAACUCGGAAAGUCAACUGAUACUGUGCGACUAGAGUGCGGAAGGGGCAACUGGAAUUCUCGGUGUAAGCGGUGAAAUGCGUAGAUAUCGAGAGGAACACCUGCGGCGAAGGCGGGUUGCUGGGCCGACACUGACGCUGAAUGCGG
rnacentral:rRNA from 1 species